GGCAGGUACGUGCCUCGGGAAAUGCGGGUGGAAAGCCCGCGCUAUACCAGUAACCGUAAGGUUCGCCGUUGCGCCGAAGGGCGUGGCGGCGGCGAAGUCGGAACACCGAGCCGAGC
rnacentral:ncRNA from 2 species